GCGGAUGUGGCGGAAUUGGCAGACGCGCUAGAUUUAGGUUCUAGUGCCGUGAGGCGUGAAGGUUCAAGUCCUUUCAUCCGCA
rnacentral:tRNA from 1 species